rnacentral:rRNA from 1 species
GACGAACGCUGGCGGCGUGCCUAAUACAUGCAAGUCGAGCGCACAGACGUGGUGCUUGUUCCUCUUACGUUAGCGGCGGACGGGUGAGUAACACGUGGAUAAUCUACCUUUAAGCCUGGGAUAACUUCUGGAAACCGGUGCUAAUACCGCAUAAUAUCUUUAACCACAUGUUUUAAUAUUGAAAGACGGUUUUGCUUUACUUAAUAGUUGUAUCCGCGCGUCUUUAGUUGGUUGUUAAGUUAACGGCAUACCAAGGCAGCCAUGCUUAGCCGACUUGAGAGGGUGAUCGCCCACACGGGAACGGGGACACGGUCAAGACCCCUACGGGAGGCAGCAGAAGGAAAUCUUCGGAAAGGGGGGAAAGCCUGACGGAGCAAGCCGGCGGAGGUGAUAAAGGUCUUGGGAUCGUAAAACUCGGUUAUAGGGGAGGAAGAAAGGUGGAAGGAAAAAUGCACGAAGUGACGGUAACUAAUCAGAAAGCCACGGCUAACUACGUG